AUUGCACGCUAGCGGGAUGCUUUACACAUGCACGUCGAACGAGUGGCGGACGGGUGAGUAAUAUAUCGGAACGUGCCCAGUAGCGGGGGCUAACUACUCGAAAGAGUGGUUAAUACCGCAUACUAUUUGAGCGGCCGAUGUCUGAUUAGCUAGUUGGUGGGGUAAAGGCUCACCAAGGCAACGAUCCGUAGCUGGUUUGAGAGGACGACCAGCGAAACUGGGACUGAGAUACGGCCCAGACUCCUACGGGAGGCAGCAGUGGGGAAGUGUGGACAAUGGGGGAAACCCUGAUCCAGCCAGCCCGCGUGUAGGAGAAGGCCUGCGGGUUGUAAAGUACUUUUGGCAGAGAAGCGGUAUCUGCAGAAUAAGCACCGGCUAACUACGUGCCAGCAGCCGCGGUAAUAC
rnacentral:rRNA from 1 species